AUGAGGGGACUGGAAGUCAAGCCAUGUCUGAUUCAGUUCUUUUGUUUCUUGUUUGUUCUACUGGGAUGUGAACUGGGGAGUACUGAGUUAUAUUCCCAGCCCUUUUAUUUUAUUUUUUUAUUCUGAAACAUGGUCUCACCGAGUUGUCUUGGUAGGACUCAAACAUGUGAUCCUCUCAUCUUAGCCUCCCAGCUAGCUGCGAUUACAGGUAUGUGCCCCUGCCCCUAGCCAGUUGCCUUGCCUUGCAACAAAUGAAGUGCCUACUGUGUGUCAAAUACUCUGUGAGACUUUGUGUGUAAGUGAUGGACAAAUGGCCAUACACAGUUCCUGGGUAUGGAGAGGCUGUACGAGCCUCACAUAGUCACAUAAUAUUUCAAGGAUCCCCAAAGCAGAAGCUGAAGGUUUAAAGAACGUGUAAUAGGAGGGCCUGGCCAUGUGCGGGUGGGCAGCAAAGACUCCUCUGAGGAUGCUCCAUAGAUGUUGAGCACGGCAGUGGCCAGCAGGAGGAGGUCAAGCAAGUACAUGGCACAUGCGAAAGUCCCAGGGCAGACAUGAUCUUGGACAGGACACAGAAAGGGCCACGAGGACUGUGUGGCUCAGAAGCUGGGAGUGAAGGACGCCAGGUGACCACAGUCUGUGUGAAACAUGCUUCUCCCCAGCAGCUAUGGAGACAUCACUGAAGGGAUUAAACUGGGUAAUGCGGUGACCUGAUGUGAUGAAUUUCUUGCUUAACAGUUCUGAGCCCUCACACAAACUAAUCACAUUUGACGUGUGUCACUGGAUUGCCACAAACGCCUAUGAAGAUGUUUCCGCCAUCUUAGGGAUAAGACUUUAGACACCCAGAGCAAGCAGCCAAGGCCAUCUGUAGCCCACAUCACCCUGCCCCUUGCAUGUCCACCGGAUAGAUGCCACUUGACAUCUGUGGUCGGUCAAGAAACUGGCUCGGAGAUGUUCGAUCACAUUUUAAGGACUCAGUGGAUAAAUAGACUGGGAUUAAGAUCCCAUUUGUGCAACACCAGAGCCUCUGUGCUUCCCGUGGAACAGUAGUAACCAGAGAUGAGCUUGCUUAAUUCCUGGGAACCAAGAGCUCCGUGGAGGUAACACCAACACUGAGACCCUUGUCCCCGACAGUCAGCACUCAGUAGAGACUUCAUAAAGGCGUGGAUGAGUGAAAAGUUGGAGAACAAGGCUCCUGCUAGACCCACUUAAGAGGAUUCCCAUGGAGAGGAUGGGGAUUCACAUUCUUGCUUCACUUCCCCCACGCACAGGAGCCCUGCUAUUCAAAUUGACCAGGGCCAAAUUGCUGCCCACAGGUAAAGGUGGACAUCUGAGGCCACCUCAACCUCUUCUUUGGAUAAGGGACAGCCACAUCCGCACAGCUCUGGUCUGGAGACUGCUGGGGAAGAUGUUGGGAGUGCCUGGGACCUUCCUAUUUGCUGGGCUGAGAAUGCCAGUCAGAAGAGUGGAUGUGGGGGAGAGGUCACGGCCAGAGGACAGACCAGUGCUGCUGGUGGCUUGGUGACUUUGGUGAAGUUUCUCAGAAGCCACCUCCCUUGGCUGGCAGAAGUUUCCCUGACAUGUUCCACUUUGGUUGCACAAGAGAGUGCAGUAACCCUUGGCCUCAGGCAGGAUCUAGGUUGCAGCAGUCUUGGGGGACCACAGUCUCCAGGAAACUUAUCCCUUGUGGGUGUCUGUGUGGGUGGUGGUACUGAGAGAUUGAUUUUGUUUCUGUGUUUGAUGGUCCUGGGGGCUUAAAUCUGUCUUGUAUGCUAGACAGGCUCUACCACUGAGCCAUACUCCUUGCACUCAUAUAUAUAUAUAUAUUGUAAAUAUUUAUAAUUUGCAAAAUGAGGCUCUUCCUUUCAGCAUGCCACAGAUUAAAUCAGAUAAUAUAUUCCUAAGAACUUUAUGAAUGAAAGUGACAUAUAGAAGAGGAAUUAUUCACUCAUUCAGCAAACAUCCACUGAACUUGCGUGCUGGACCUGAAGGAGGAACAGGAACUCAAGUUAAUGCACACAAUCCAGCUCCAGGUGCUCCAGGAGCUCAGAGGAGCAGCUAUGGAGCAGCUCAUGUAGAGGAAGCAGAGAUUAUAACGCAGAAGACAAGGGAAGAAGUGAGGUUCAAAACCUGGCUGUCUUUAAGGAACACAGCGCUGGGGAAGAAUGGCCUUCUCAGUACUCAUCAACAGAGCCACUGCGACUGUCCUUUGGUGACCUGAGAACCUUCUGUCCUAACUACAUUUCCUCUGCCAACCCCGUGAUGACUACUUUAUUGUUAGCUUCUUCAAGGUGAGAAUCCUGAGCCCAACAUUCUGGAAAGAGGCCUGUCAUGGGAACGCAAUGCCUGCUCUGUUGUGUCUGAUGUUCACCCACUUCACCCUCUGCAGUGAGGAGCUCAGAGUCCUGUUCAGACAGAAGCUGACCUGAGCUCUGCUGUUCACCCUAAACUCCAGGAGUCUCAGGUUCCUCAAGAUUAGAUGCUACAUUUGAGGGCCCAGACAGCUAUCCCAAAAAUAGCAGGCUAAACUACAGUAACUAUCCUUAAUUUCCUAUUAACUUAAACUGAAGCCCGGUAUUACUUACAUUGUCUUAUUAUGACUGAUCUUAUUUGAAGCUGGUUUGUUAGACCACUGUUUUGUCUUGACUGAUUUUAUUCGAAUUUGGUAUGUUUGAUAAUAUCAAGUCUAAGAGUAGAGGCAACUACUCUGAAGAUGACAAGAUGUAAUAAGAUACCCAUUCCAGUUUGAUUAUUAACUGCUUUUGGAGUCCUACAGUGUCUCCAAUGUUGUGUUUUUAUUAAAAUUGCUGUGUAAUGCUAUGUUC